UCUAACAUCGAACGAAUCUUUAAAUGACUUUGGCAUUAUUCUAAAACAAAUUAAUUUAGAGGAAACUGGAAACGCGUGCAAUGUUUGUGUUAAUAAGCUAAAUAGACUUCGAUCAUUUGACAAAAAAAUAGAGUGCCUGGAAAUCGAAAAAAGUGAACUUCUACAAACAAUAAAAUCCCUGCCAGGGGCGGUUGCGAAAAGCAAAGGUGGCAAUGUUACGCCACAUGGUUCAAAGAAAGUGAAACGUGCUCUUGAGUCUUCACCUUCAGGUUUGACUCCCAAGAGCAAAAGGACGCUAUUUAGAACACCAAGAAAACCAACCGUAUUCGCUACUAGUACUACCGGCGAAAAAUCACUGAAGGUAGAUGCAUCAACGAGUACAUGUACCAACACACUUCCGACUAGAAGAAAGUUUGAUGUCAAGGUAACAGUGAUGUAUAAUUCAACUGAAAGAUGUAAAAUCAUAACUGAUAGUGCAGAACAGACUGCAAUCAAAGCCAUGAUGAAUGGAAAAGGACCAGAAACAGUAUUGAAACAGCUGUCAAAAUGUAGUAAAUACAGGUCAGCAAUGGCAAAAUGUGUUAGCAAGGACAUAAUACAAGAAGU